GAUUCUUUUUAGUGUGACCGAAUUUUUCAAGACUCACCCGCAAUGCAUGUAGCAUGGUCUGAAUGGUCUGAAAAAAGUGUGUCCGCAAAAGGGCCAGCUGGAGGAGCCAAUACCAGCCAUUACCAGGACGCUGGGCGACUUCCUGCAGCAUCAGAGGAACUACCCCGUGUUCCCAAUCCGACUUUGGAUUCGGAGCUAGACUGCAGAUGGCGCGGAAAAGAUGGCGAAGGAAGCUACUCUUCUUACCACAUGGGCUGAAAAGUCCCGGGUCGAACACAUAGAUGGCGCUAAUUUUGUUGCAGUCACCUUUUUUACAGUUAAUACUAACCUUCAAAAGAUAACUCAUAAAAUUUCAUAAUAUUCUAUUCAUUAGUUUGUGAGUUAUAGUGCUAAGAGUGACGCUCCUUUUGUUAUUUUCAAAACAAUGGAUCAAAAACAA